rnacentral:lncRNA from 1 species
GUUAUUCACCGUGUUUUGUGAAAUCGGUAAAUAGAUCGUUCAUCGUGAAAUGGCAAUUUUAUUUCGCGUUCUUCUGUAAAGAUACCCUCCUUUAUGCUCCUCUUUAAUUGGCUCAGCUUUAUCCACAUAUUCAACGAAAUUAUUUCCAUACAGUAAGGGAGCUUAGUAACCAUUUGAUUUUUAUGGGGGGGCUAGGAUGAAAUUUGAAAAAAAUAGGCAGGACAGGAGUUUUGAGUAAAAAAUAAAGGCAGGAUGAGACACUUGCAAAAAAAAAAAAGUCAGGACGACAAUUUAGGUAAAAAAAAGUCAGGAUAAACUAAAAAAAAAAAGGCAGGACCGAACAGAGUGAAAAAUAAAAAGGCAGGACAGAGAUUACAGCUAAAAAAAAAUACAGGACAAAAUUUUUCAUCCUAGCCCCCCCCCC